rnacentral:rRNA from 1 species
GACGAACGCUGGCGGCGUGCUUAACACAUGCAAGUCGAACGGAAAGGCCCUGCUUGCAGGGUGCUCGAGUGGCGAACGGGUGAGUAACACGUGGGUGAUCUGCCCCUUACUUUGGGAUAAGCCUGGGAAACUGGGUCUAAUACUGGAUAGGACCAUGCUGUAGGUGGUGUGGUGGAAAGAUUAGUUUCGGUAAGGGAUGAGCUCGCGGCCUAUCAGCUUGUUGGUGGGGUAAUGGCCUACCAAGGCGUCGACGGGUAGCCGGCCUGAGAGGGGGGACGACCACAUUGGGACUGAGAUACGACCCAGACUCCUACGGGAGGCAGCAGUAGGGAAUAUUGCACAAUGAGCAAAGGCCUGAUGCAGCGACGCCGCGUGCGGGAUGACGGCCUUCGGGUUGCGAACACCAUUCAGCCAUGACGAAGCCCUUGUGGUGACGGUAGUGGUAGAAGAAGCACCGGCUAACUACGUG